UCAAAAUAGGUCGUUCUAAACUGCCGCUCUGCAAAAUACGCCCGCGCUAGCUCAGGUCGUAAAAAUGGGUCGCUCAAGCGCUGUCACUCGCCAGGAGAGGUCACGGCAGCUUCUGGCGUACCUGGCAGGUGGGCCCCAGUACGCUUGUACCUAUUAUGCCCUUACGGUUUAACUCCAUGCCGUCUGUUCUUCUUCUCUGGACGCCGAGCACUCCUUCUCCUCCUCUGUCGGCGGUCGUGGGAGACGUACACGGCGAUUAGGAGGCACGUCGUCCACCAGUCUCCUCGCAGGGAUGUCGAAGAGCACGGAAAUCGCAGAUAAAGCAAUCAUCUUGAUGCAGGAUCAUGCCAAGCAUAUCUAUCGUAUUUGCAAUGAGAAGCUAAUAUUGGGUAAAGGAUUGACUGCAUUUGAGGUCAAAGAACUUCGUGAAGCACUUGAAUUCGCCGCCGAAGGAUUGGACCAGGACUCCCUUUUUUGCCAAGAGGAAUUGGAUGCAACUGUUAAGGAGGAACAAUUGGAGCAUGACGAGAAGGUGGCUUCACAGAUGAUUGAAAGCCCACUUCUUCUCCUGAUUCGGACUGCUUCCUAUCCCUUGAAGAGCACAUUGAGAAGUUUUGGGGCGUUGAUUACAACUCGGACCAGAUGCCUAGCUACUCCGACUAGGCUCAGAGUUUAUGGUGCUGUGAAAUUCUGGAUGUUUGGGUGUAAUGGUAUUUUGGAUGUGUAUGUGAACUGUAAUUCUGGAUGUGUGGAUGUAAUGGUGAACUGACUGAAUGGUGUCUUGUGUAAUGGUAUUUUGGAUGUCUAUGUGAACUCUAGUUCUGGGUUUAAUGGUGAACUGAAAUUCAGUGUUCAUUGUUCAGUAUAAUUUGUUAACUCCA